rnacentral:snRNA from 1 species
GUGCUCUCUUUGGCAGCAUGUAUACAAAAAUGGGAAGGAUACAGAAAAAAUUAGCAUGGCCCCUGUGCAAGAAAGCUUUCCUCUAGAAAGGAAACUAUGACAU